rnacentral:rRNA from 1 species
UACGUAGGGUGCAAGCGUUAAUCGGAAUUACUGGGCGUAAAGCGUGCGCAGGCGGUUGUGUAAGACAGAUGUGAAAUCCCCGGGCUCAACCUGGGAACUGCAUUUGUGACUGCACAGCUGGAGUGCGGCAGAGGGGGAUGGAAUUCCGUGUGUAGCAGUGAAAUGCGUAGAUAUGCGGAGGAACACCGAUGGCGAAGGCAAUCCCCUGGGCCUGCACUGACGCUGAGACACGAAAGCGUGGGUAGCAAACAGG